AGUGAACGCUGGCGGUAGGCCUAACACAUGCAAGUCGAACGGCAGCACAGUAAGAGCUUGCUCUUACGGGUGGCGAGUGGCGGACGGGUGAGGAAUACAUCGGAAUCUACUUUUUCGUGGGGGAUAACGUAGGGAAACUUACGCUAAUACCGCAUAUGACCUACGGGUGAAAGCAGGGGAUCUUCGGACCUUGCGCGAUUGAAUGAGCCGAUUUCGGAUUAGCUAGUUUGCGGGGUAAAGGCCCACCAAGGCGACGAUCCGUAGCUGGUCUGAGAGGAUGAUCAGCCACACUGGAACUGGGACACGGUCCAGACUCCUACGGGAGGCAGCAGUGGGGAAUAUUGGACAAUGGGCGCAAGCCUGAUCCAGCCAUACCGCGUGGGUGAAGAAGGCCUUCGGGUUGUAAAGCCCUUUUGUUGGGAAAGAAAAGCAGCAGGUUAAUACCCCGCUGUUCUGACGGUACCCAAAGAAUAAGCACCGGCUAACUUCGUG
rnacentral:rRNA from 1 species